UACAGAGGUCCCGAGCGUUGUUCGGAUUCAUUGGGCGUAAAGGGUGCGUAGGCGGCGGGGUAAGUUUGAUGUGAAAUCCCGGGGCUCAACCCUGGAAUUGCAUUGAAUACUACCUUGCUAGAGUACCGGAGAGGAAACUGGAAUUUACGGUGUAGCAGUGAAAUGCGUAGAGAUCGUAAGGAAGACCAGUGGCGAAGGCGGCGAUCUGGGAAGAUACUGACGCUGAGGUGCGAAAGCGUGGGGAGCAAACAGG
rnacentral:rRNA from 1 species